GAUGAACGCUGGCGGCGUGCCUAAUACAUGCAAGUCGAGCGAACGGACGAGAAGCUUGCUUCUCUGAUGUUAGCGGCGGACGGGUGAGUAACACGUGGAUAACCUACCUAUAAGACUGGGAUAACUUCGGGAAACCGGAGCUAAUACCGGAUAAUAUUUUGAACCGCAUGGUUCAAAAGUGAAAGACGGUCUUGCUGUCACUUAUAGAUGGAUCCGCGCUGCAUUAGCUAGUUGGUAAGGUAACGGCUUACCAAGGCAACGAUGCAUAGCCGACCUGAGAGGGUGAUCGGCCACACUGGAACUGAGACACGGUCCAGACUCCUACGGGAGGCAGCAGUAGGGAAUCUUCCGCAAUGGGCGAAAGCCUGACGGAGCAACGCCGCGUGAGUGAUGAAGGUCUUCGGAUCGUAAAACUCUGUUAUUAGGGAAGAACAUAUGUGUAAGUAACUGUGCACAUCUUGACGGUACCUAAUCAGAAAGCCACGGCUAACUACGUGCCAGCAGCCGCGGUAAUACGUAGGUGGCAAGCGUUAUCCGGAAUUAUUGGGCGUAAAGCGCGCGUAGGCGGUUUUUUAAGUCUGAUGUGAAAGCCCACGGCUCAACCGUGGAGGGUCAUUGGAAACUGGAAAACUUGAGUGCAGAAGAGGAAAGUGGAAUUCCAUGUGUAGCGGUGAAAUGCGCAGAGAUAUGGAGGAACACCAGUGGCGAAGGCGACUUUCUGGUCUGUAACUGACGCUGAUGUGCGAAAGCGUGGGGAUCAAACAGGAUUAGAUACCCUGGUAGUCCACGCCGUAAACGAUGAGUGCUAAGUGUUAAGGGGUUUCCGCCCCUUAGCGCUGCAGCUAACGCAUUAAGCACUCCGCCUGGGGAGUACGACCGCAAGGUUGAAACUCAAAGGAAUUGACGGGGACCCGCACAAGCGGUGGAGCAUGUGGUUUAAUUCGAAGCAACGCGAAGAACCUUACCAAAUCUUGACAUCCUUUGACAACUCUAGAGAUAGAGCCUUCCCCUUCGGGGGACAAAGUGACAGGUGGUGCAUGGUUGUCGUCAGCUCGUGUCGUGAGAUGUUGGGUUAAGUCCCGCAACGAGCGCAACCCUUAAGCUUAGUUGCCAUCAUUAAGUUGGGCACUCUAAGUUGACUGCCGGUGACAAACCGGAGGAAGGUGGGGAUGACGUCAAAUCAUCAUGCCCCUUAUGAUUUGGGCUACACACGUGCUACAAUGGACAAUACAAAGGGCAGCGAAACCGCGAGGUCAAGCAAAUCCCAUAAAGUUGUUCUCAGUUCGGAUUGUAGUCUGCAACUCGACUACAUGAAGCUGGAAUCGCUAGUAAUCGUAGAUCGGCAUGCUACGGUGAAUACGUUCCCGGGUCU
rnacentral:rRNA from 1 species